AGGAUGAACGCUGGCGGCGUGCCUAACACAUGCAAGUCGAACGGGGAGCUUAUUUCGGUAGGCUUCUAGUGGCGAACGGGUGAGUAACACGUUGGUGACCUGCCCCGAAGUGGGGGACAACUCCUCGAAAGAGGAGCUAAUACCCCGGAUGUCUGAGUGGUUAGAAGACUUAGACUAAAGUUUUCGGAAUGCUUUGGGAGGGCCUGCGGGCUAUCAGCUAGUUGGUGAGGUAAGGCUCACCAAGGCGAAGACGGCGUAGGGGGCGUGAGAGCGUCGACCCCCCA
rnacentral:rRNA from 1 species